rnacentral:rRNA from 1 species
GUGGGGAAUAUUGCGCAAUGGGCGAAAGCCUGACGCAGCGACGCAGCGUGAGGGACGAAGGCCUUCGGGUUGUAAACCUCUUUCAGCGGGGACGAAGCGAAAGUGACGGUACCCGCAGAAGAAGCACCGGCUAACUACGUGCCAGCAGCCGCGGUAAUACGUAGGGUGCAAGCAUUGUCCGGAUUUAUUGGGCGUAAAGAGCUCGUAGGCGGCUUGUCACGUCGGAUGUGAAAACUCGGGGCUCAACCCCGAGCCUGCAUUCGAUACGGGCUAGCUAGAGUGUUGCAGGGGAGACUGGAAUUCCUGGUGUAGCGGUGAAAUGCGCAGAUAUCAGGAGGAACACCGGUGGCGAAGGCGGGUCUCUGGGCAACUACUGACGCUGAGGAGCGAAAGCGUGGGGAGCGAACAGGAUUAGAUACCCCUGUAGUCC